UACGGAGGGUGCAAGCGUUAUCCGGAUUUACUGGGCGUAAAGCGUGCGCAGGCGGUUUCUUAAGUCAGAUGUGAAAGCCCCGGGCUUAACCUGGGAACUGCGUUUGAAACUGGGAGACUAGAGUGUGGCAGAGGGGGGUGGAAUUCCACGUGUAGCAGUGAAAUGCGUAGAUAUGUGGAGGAACACCAGUGGCGAAGGCGGCGACCUGGGCCAAUACUGACGCUGAGGUGCGAAAGCGUGGGGAGCAAACAGG
rnacentral:rRNA from 1 species